UACGUAGGGUGCAAGCGUUGUCCGGAGUUAUUGGGCGUAAAGAGCUCGUAGGCGGUUUGUCGCGUCUGCUGUGAAAACUCGGGGCUUAAUUCCGGGCCUGCAGUGGGUACGGGCAGACUAGAGUGCGGUAGGGGAGACUGGAAUUCCUGGUGUAGCGGUGAAAUGCGCAGAUAUCAGGAGGAACACCGGUGGCGAAGGCGGGUCUCUGGGCCGUAACUGACGCUGAGGCGCGAAAGCGUGGGGAGCAAACAGG
rnacentral:rRNA from 1 species